CGGGUUUAGGGUAUAAACCAAAAAAUAAGCAAAAACUUCUUAGUAACUUCUUUGUUAAAGCUGGGGAAAGUAAAACUAAGAAAAUAACCUGUUUUUGUUGUGGAACCUUAGGACAUAAAGCAAAUGUGUGCGAUUAUAGAAAAGGUAAAACUAAAAGAAAAAUUAAUAGGGUAUGGGUUCCAAAAGGAACCAACAUGACUAACCAUGAAGGACCCAAGAAAACUUGGGUACCUAA
rnacentral:lncRNA from 1 species